GACGAACGCUGGCGGCGUGCUUAACACAUGCAAGUCGAACGGAAAGGCCCUGCUUGCAGGGUGCUCGAGUGGCGAACGGGUGAGUAACACGUGGGUGAUCUGCCCCUUACUUUGGGAUAAGCCUGGGAAACUGGGUCUAAUACUGGAUAGGGCCAUGCUGUAGGUGGUGUGGUGGAAAGAUUAGUUUCGGUAAGGGAUGAGCUCGCGGCCUAUCAGCUUGUUGGUGGGGUAAUGGCCUACCAAGGCGUCGACGGGUAGCCGGCCUGAGAGGGUGGACGGCCACAUUGGGACUGAGAUACGGCCCAGACUCCUACGGGAGGCAGCAGUGGGGAAUAUUGCACAAUGGGCGCAAGCCUGAUGCAGCGACGCCGCGUGGGGGAUGACGGCCUUCGGGUUGUAAACUCCUUUCAGCCAUGACGAAGCCCUUGUGGUGACGGUAGUGGUAGAAGAAGCACCGGCUAACUACGCG
rnacentral:rRNA from 1 species